rnacentral:rRNA from 1 species
UUCCUUCCAAGAAAAGCCUCUAAGCUUCAGACAAUAGGUGACCGUACCGUAAACCAACUCAGGUGGGUGAGGAGAAAAUCCUAAGGUGAUUGAGAGAACACUGGUUAAGGAACUCGGCAAAAUGACACCGUAACUUCGGGAUAAGGUGUGCCCUCAUCAGGUGUAGCGAUUUGCACGUGAAGCCGAAGGGGGUCGCAGAGAAAUGGCGGUAGCGACUGUUUACUAAAAACACAGGACUCUGCUAAGUCGUAAGACGAUGUAUAGGGUCUGACGCCUGCCCGGUGCUGGAAGGUUAAGGGGAUUUGUUAGCGCAAGCGAAGCUUUGAACCGAAGCCCCAGUAAACGGCGGCCGUAACUAUAACGGUCCUAAGGUAGCGAAAUUCCUUGUCGGGUAAGUUCCGACCUGCACGAAUGGCGUAACGAUUUCCGCGCUGUCUCAACCAGUGGCUCAGCGAAAUUGAAUUCUCGGUGAAGAUGCCGAGUACCCGCGGUAAGACGGAAAGACCCCGUGAACCUUUACUAUAGCUUGACAGUGACAUUCGGAAUAGCUUGUGUAGGUUAGGUGGGAGACUAGGAAACCGGGACGCUAGUCUCGGUGGAGUCGUCCUUGAAAUACCACCCUGGUUGUUUUGGAUGUCUAACCUGGGCCCGUAAACCGGGUCGGGGACACUGUCUGGUGGGUAGUUUGACUGGGGCGGUCGCCUCCCAAAGAGUAACGGAGGCGCGCGAAGGUUCCCUCAGCCCGAUUGGAAACCGGGCGUAGAGUGCAAUGGCAUAAGGGAGCUUGACUGCGAGACCAACAAGUCGAGCAGGUACGAAAGUAGGUCAUAGUGAUCCGGCGGUUCUGUAUGGAAGGGCCGUCGCUCAACGGAUAAAAGGUACUCCGGGGAUAACAGGCUGAUCUCCCCCAAGAGUUCACAUCGACGGGGAGGUUUGGCACCUGAUGUCGGCUCAUCGCAUCCUGGGGCUGAAGUAGGUCCCAAGGGUUUGGCUGUUCGCCAAUUAAAGCGGUACGCGAGCUGGGUUUAAAACGUCGUGAGACAGUUUGGUCCCUAUCUACCGUGGGCGCAGGAUACUUGAGAAGAGCUGUCCUUAGUACGAGAGGACCGGGAUGGACAUACCUCUGGUGUUCCAGUUGUGCCGCCAGGCGCAGUCGCUGGGUAGCCACGUAUGGAAAGGAUAACCGCUGAAAGCAUCUAAGCGGGAAGCCUCCUUCAAGAUUAGGUAUCCCUGAGAGCAAUCCCCUGAAGGCCCGUUGUAGACCACAACGUUGAUAGGCUGGGUGUGUAAGCGCAGCAAUGUGUUUAGCUUACCAGUACUAAUCGGCCGUGAGGCUUGACCAU